rnacentral:misc_RNA from 1 species
CAACCCUUAAGCCUAGCUUAGUGUUGGGAGUCUACUCAAUGGUGAUCUUUUUGAUUACUGUGUAGUUCCUAAAAUGAAACGGCGGAUCUGCAGUAUCCUCUGAGCGUAGUAAAUUAUUAUCUCGCUUUUGUCAGGUGCUGUGGCUCUUGCCGCUAAACCCCCAAUUUUUAAU